CUGAAGAUGUUGGUUUGAGGAUGAAAUCAUCCUUGGCAGAUUAGAGCUUUGAGAUUAUCUUGUACAGCCCCACUUGAGUUCUAGUUGUCGUAGCUAAAAGAUAAAACCAUAUAUAAUUAUUUAAUAAGAGAAAUAACAUAGCAUAUAACAUAUAUUGUGGUGAUGCAUAAUCUUACGAUGUGGCUGGUGCACUUGCUCAUCUGACAAGCUAAAAGUAGUCUGUUUGCGCUUUCGAUUUUUAGUAAUCAUACCUGCAAGUGCAAGUAAUCUGUUUAAGCAAAGUUUCUCAUUCUGACUUGAAUGCUUGAAUGAUUUUCCUUGCAAUUCUCGGGCUUUAACAUUGAUUAAACUUCAUUAAGCCCCAUUAGUGGGCUUGACUCGAUAUGUUUAAACAAUAAAAUUGAAAGGGCUUGACUCGAUGCCAUAAAGAAGAGCACAACCAAAGGGAUAAUAUGUUUAAACAAUAAAAUUGAAAGGGUUUGACUCGAUGCCAUAAAGAAGAGCACAACCCAAGGGAUAAUAUGUUUAAACAAUAAAAUUGAAAGGGCUUCACUCGAUGCCAGAAAGAAGAGCACAACCAAAUGGACAAUAUAUUGAUAGAAUACACACGUAGCACAUACUAUAAUACAAACCUGAAACAAAAAGUUCUAUGAAAAAUAUCAUAUCCGCAAUGAAACUCCAUACACAACCUUACUCUUCAGAUCAAGAAUUCACUGAAUUUAAAUGUGCAGAUAAGCCUGCCCUAUUCACUUUUCUCACAAGAAUUAGGAGAUUAGCAAACUUCCCAAGCAAUCAAAUAUAACGUACAUUCUGGAAUGAAAAACACAUCUAUCCCAACUAAGAAGAUAGGCUAGCUAUAAAAAUGUCGCCGACAUUCGUUCGACGUUCAUAACUCCCAAAAAAACCAUGGUACUGAAAAUAACAAAUUAGAAAUAUCAGAUGUUCAAUCCAAAUUGUAGAAAUAAGAGUAAUAAAAGCAUGUCAAAGACUAACCUCACUGGAGCCUACGAAUUUACGCUGGAAUAGAUGGCUAAGAGGAAGAAUAAGGACAAUUCAAAAUCGUUGGGGAAAUAGAAGAGUAAAAAUCCAUCAAAUUCCUACCUCACCGGUACCUUUAGAUACACGAACAAAAUUGAUGGCUGCAAAAAAGAAGAUAGCAAUUCAAAACCUAAUUGAUUGAACUCAUAUCAGAAUUUUAUUAUAGAGCAGACAAAUUUAGUCGUGUAAGUUUCUCACCUUCCGGGUGGCUUCAGAUUGGCAACGACUUCAGACGUGAACCACUGAAAUUCUGAUUGAGGAAGAAAGAGGAACGAGGGCUUUUUCGAUUUCUAAUUUUUGAUAAUCGUCUACACAUUUAUAUUGCCGCGAAGCUUUUACCGGGAGAAGGGAAAUAUAUUUUUGUUUGAAUUUUCUUUUCCCAAUAUCUUAAACAUAGUGCUACUGUACGGAGGCAAAUUAGGGGGAAAUGCACUUGUGUUUUGGCAAAAGAAAGAUGGGGAG
rnacentral:lncRNA from 1 species